rnacentral:rRNA from 1 species
GAUGAACGCUGACAGAAUGCUUAACACAUGCAAGUCGAUGGGGAAGUGGUGCUUGCACCAUGGCAACCAUGGCGGACGGGUGAGUAACGCGUAAGGGACUUACCUGCAGGACUGGGAUAACAGGGGGAAACUCCUGACAAGACCGGAUAAUGUCAUGGAGCUGCAUGGCUUUAUGAUGAAAGGAGACGCCUGCGGAGAGCCUUGCGUCCUAUUAGCUAGUUGGUGAGGUAAUGGCUCACCAAGGCGAAGAUAGGUAGCCGGCCUGAGAGGGUGGACGGCCACAAGGGGACUGAGAUACGGCCCUUACUCCUACGGGAGGCAGCAGUGGGGAAUAUUGGACAAUGGGGGCAACCCUGAUCCAGCAAUUCUGUGUGCACGAAGAAGGUUUUCGGAGUGUAAAGUGCUUUCAGAAGGGAAGAAGUAAGUGACGGUACCUGCAGAAGAAGCGACGGCUAAAUACGUG